CUUACCAAUGCAAUAGCAGCAGUCUCUUCAUCAAUAAUAGAGACCUUGAACUGGUUGGCAAGGUACUCUCCAUAUGCAGCGUUGGUGAGAUACAUAUCAGAAGUGGCAGCUCUAGAUCCAAACACAAGUUCCGGUGCGUCCGGAUUGCAUGAAGAAAGUAAACAAAUUAACAGUAGAUUGCGGAAUUUGUGAAGCAAUUGAUAUCAAGACGAGAACCUGAAGUUGAGCAGCUAUAUCGAACCAGGCUGAGUUGCUGAGGGGAAGCCAGAAGAAGGUUUUUUUUUUUCCUGAUGGAGUGUGUAAUGUGGAUGGUUGGAAGUCUAUGCUUCCCAGCGUAUUGGUUCCUGCGUCUGGAUAAUUGAAGUCUCCGAAUUUCAGCUGACCUUUCUUUGUCUCAAAACUCUGUUUUAAUUAUUAACCCAGAAAAACUAUGCGUUAAUUAUCAAAAAAGGAAACACAUGUCACAUAUGUAAAUUAAUUUUUCUUCUAGUUUUUCUCUUUGUAAAAGAAAGAUGGUAAUUACCAGUUUUAGUAAGUCCUUUUCUAAGUUUUAGUUUACAUUAGAGGAAAGGGGUAAUCGGACUUCAAUUUUCAUUUAAAUUAUAUGCACCUAGAGAUGAAGCUGAGGAGUUUGGAACUCUCUUUUUCCUGUGUCUCUCUAUCUCUUUCCUUCAUGUUGUUUCACAUUAGGGGAUUUUGGGGGCUGUCUGUGGUUUUCUCCGUCCACAGCCAGCCCAGUGGCUUUCAUGAUCAGUUUUAGUUCUAUUUGUUCAUCUUUCUUUUUUAAGCUUGUUUUUAGAUUUAGUGCCUUUAGUUGGACCUUGUGCUGGUACUUUUGUUAUAGGGUUUCCAUUUGCUGGCUUGGUAUAGCCCUUGUUGUGCGGCACUGUUCGCCCCUCAAAUCCACCGGAGUCCUUUGGGAGUUUGUCGUUUGACAGAUCUGGGAGAGAGGAAGGAGAAGCUGCUGGGUCUUUUAUGAAGUGUGAGCAGAAGUCGUGUUGAUCAAGAUCUCUUCUUCAAUUGGCUCAGCUCCACCUCCGCCGGAAGAUAUAGAUUAGUUGGGUUGUCGGCAAUGCGUCAGGUUUUCUCCUCAGUAUCUCACCUUUUUCUAGCGAUUGUACUCUAAUGUUGCAAAUCCUGUGUUUUUGGCUCUUAAGCUUGGGACAAGAAGAUGUUUUAGGGUAUUUGUGCUACAGGAGGUUGGGGAUGGGGGUUUCUGACAUUCUCUGUCAGUGGAGCUCAAGGGGAGGGAAAAUGAUCUGGUUGCAGACAGUUUUCUUAGCCAAGGACCAAUUUGCUAUUUUUACUUGUUAGUAGGCCAUGGGGCCGAUUAUUGUUUGGGCCUUGAGCCCGGUCUUUUAGGUUUAUUGGUUUCUAAACCCUUUGUAUGUUAAGGGCCUUUAGCCCAGAUUUAUUUGUAUGGGAUGAAAUCUCCUGUUAUACACUGAA